rnacentral:rRNA from 2 species
AAGGGCACCACAAGAACGCGUGGAGCAUGUGGCUUAAUUUGACUCAACGCGGGAAAUCUUACCGGGUCCGGACACACUGAGGAUUGACAGGUAUUAUUAUAUAGCGCAUAUUUUUAAUAUGUUUGUCUAUAUAUGUUAAAUAUGCUAGUCCUUUCAUGAUUAUGUGAUAGGUGGUGCAUGGCCGUUCUUAGUUCGUGGAGUGAUCUGUCUGCUUAAUUGCGUUUCACUAAGGGCCUAUAUAUCACGUGUGUUGCAGGUACUUUGACCCCUUUGGUUGAAAUAUUACUAAAGUGCGUGUCUUAGUUUGCUUUUGCUCGCACAAUUAGGUCCUGAAAGCAACGAACGUGACCGCAACCUCUUGUUGCCUUUAUCCCAAACGUCGUUUAACGUUUACAUUUAAUGUAUCGUUGCGGCAAAAAAAGGCUUUUAAACUAGAGGGACCGCUGUAAUCUUUUUAAACCAGAGGAAGGUUGCGGCAAUAACAGGUCUGUGAUGCCCUUAGAUGUUCCGGGCUGUACACGUGCUACAAUGAUUAUUGCAGUGAGCAUCUCAUUUAUAACACACCGCAUGCGCGUGUCCAUAAUAUUUGCGUGUUUAUGCAUGUCUUAUAUUAUGUGUACAUUGUGCGCGGUAAAGCCUACUUCGAAAGUAAGUGGGUAAUCAAUUAGAAGUAAUGAUUUCCUUUAUAUAGCACACAUAUAUGCGGCAUCUUUACCCGGGUUAAGCUUAUCUUAACUUCUGUGUGUAUCGAUGUUUUUUCCGCAUGUGCAAUUGUCAAUUCAUGGUGGGGACAGACCAUUGUUAAUUGUUGGUCUCGGUCUUAACUAGGAAUGCCUUGUACGGGUCUUUGGUUCAACAAACCACCCGGAAUACGUCCCUGCCCUUUGUACACACCGCCCGUCGCUCUUACCGAUGGACUUCUCUGUGAGUUUGAGGGACUGGGUACUGUAAAAAUUUAUUUUUACGAUCACCUAUGGAAACUUAAACGAACAGUGUGGUCUAAAGGAAAGAGAAGUCGUAACAAGGCAUCGGUAGGUGAACCU